GAAACACUAUGGUUCGUCCUAAAAAAAUAAAUCUGCCACGGUUAACCUACGAAGAAAGACCUACGCCACGACCGCCGCCCGCGGGUCGCCCGCUCCCUCGCGCCCCUGUUGCUCCCUCCUCGAUCCCGAUCUGGAUCGAGGGGACGAGGAGCUCCUGCCUCCCCGACGGCCGGCCUCCUCCUCGCCCCGCUGCUGCGUCCGGCGCCGCCACGGCCUCUGGAGCCAGGGAAGCCAUGGCCUGAGUUCGGCCUCGAGGUCCCCGCCGCCGUCUCCUGCAGCUUCUGCCCCGCCGCCUCACCGCCCAAGCUCGCCGUCGCACCAACCUCGGCGCCGCGCCGCCGCCGGCUCUGGUCGCCUCCACCUCCGCUCCAGUGCUUAAGGAUGGAGGAGAACGGCCUGAAGUUCGUGCUCGAUCUGGUGGUCAGGUUCCCACUUCGGCAAGAGUUCGCCGAUGACCUUAAGCACUCCGAUCCGGUGCCGCUAAGGCUGCCACCCAGGGGGAGGCUGGCGCUCUUGGCACGGAGGAUUCAAUUGGUGAAUCUGGCUGCACCCUGAGGUUAAUCGGGAGGCACCUGGAUGGACGAAAAGGGAAAGCCUAAGGCCGAGAAUAGCCGAUCAUGCAUGUAUGAGUGUCCCGCACUGAUCAGGGAGAAGGUUCAUUGGCACAUAGACUUCUGUGUUAACAGGGCGACAACGUCAAGGAUGGCAUCUGCGAGAACUCUUUUGUGUUAGAUAAAUUGAUGAUUAUGUCUGGAUCUCCGGGGGCAGACACUAUCAUACUGAAGCUCAGCCGGACCACGACUGUCAACAGGGUCACCGUAUUCUUUGAGGAACACAAACAAUCCAGGAUCCAAAUGAGCUUGGUUACGUACUAAAUUAUUGUUGAGGAUCUCAGGUAAUCGUUGCAGUAGAAGAUUACGCCCCUGAUCAUCAUUCUCAUUUUCAAACUUGCCAUUUAUCAGAGGAUUUGGAUGGGGUGCAUUCAUGCAUUAUAUUGGAGCAAGGACCUGCCGAGCAGGGGGAUACCAUGGGGAGGCGAACCUGGUAAAAUAGGGGUGGAAAGUAUACUAUAGGUAUGUUAGCCGUGGCAAGGAAUUGGUGGAUUGUUUUCCAUUCAGUUGUGUUCAACACUGAAAAAUGGUAUAUCAUUUUUUGUCCUUUCCAAAUUAAAAUAUCAAUCCAUAAUUUUUUUGUCAUUCACAAAUUAAAUUAUCAGUGUAGAAGUCUAUUUGAGCAUUCAUUUCCUAUCCUUUUAUAAACUAGAAGGCCACGCUAGGUUUCUUAGUGUAGUAUUUGGAAUGUUUGACCCUGAACUGGCCCUCUGUUCCAACUAACGAAAAAAUGACCCUUUGUUGUGAUUUUAUUUUUUAUAUGUAAAACGAUAUUUGUAAAAUUUUGUAUUCGGUCUGCCAUUUGCCAGUGAAUUAGGGCUGCAUUUUAGAUUAGAACCAUGAAGUAACUAUGAUGUGCACCGCUUGGAACCAGAGCGAGUCUAAUGAAAGACGGGCAUUUGAUCAUGUUCUAUUUAAUUAUCAUUUCGUUCGUUUCGUCGUUCCAUCCCUCCCUGAACUGACCUUACCCACAACUCUUACCUUUUCAUUUCAUUUUAUCAAGGAAAGACUGUGGGGUUUGUGUAUCCUUAUCCAGGACAUUGUGAAGGCUUCUGAUGCAGUUUACAAGAAGCAAUUGGUGAGCUAAUUCAGAGAUAAGUGAAAUGAUAAUAAGAAGGUUAAAUAAUGUUGUUCAAUCUUUCCGUCAAGCAACCUGUUUGGCCCCAAAUGUCCGCACCGACGCGGUGACGCCCGUGGGCGCCACCGUUCCUUCCUGAAGGGCAUCGGGUGUUGCUUGGCAUGCGGAGGUUCAAGGUGCUAGGAGCGAGGUGGUAAAUCUCCGGUGGGCGCAGCGGUUGCGGGUCAUCAUCAUUUUCGUCGAUCCGACGCUGUCGACAUUAUUUUCUCUCUUCUUUCUCUUUUUUUUUUCUUUUGGGCGUGCUUGUGCUGUUUGCCCCAGCAUUGGACUCUUGGUUGUAUUGGGUUGUUGCUCUAUCUAUAUAGCGGGGCGAAAGCCUAUUUCGUAAGAUUCUUCCAUGAAUUCAAGACUUGGCAAACCACUCCCAUUACAAGGUUCCAUAACACAUGCUGGAUUUGUAUGUCAAGAUAUCUGAAGGGCAAAAACUUAGUACAUCUAUUCUGUUUUUUUAAUAAAUCUCCCUCUUGAAAUGAGC
rnacentral:rRNA from 1 species